UACGGAGGGUGCAAGCGUUGUUCGGAAUCACUGGGCGUAAAGGGCGUGUAGGCGGUCCGCUAAGUCUGAUGUGAAAGCCCGAGGCUUACCCUCGGAAGUGCAUUGGAGACUGGCGGACUUGAGUCCCGGAGAGGAGGGUGGAAUUCCUGGUGUAGCGGUGAAAUGCGUAGAUAUCAGGAGGAACACCGGUGGCGAAGGCGGCCCUCUGGACGGUGACUGACGCUGAGACGCGAAAGCGUGGGGAGCAAACGGG
rnacentral:rRNA from 1 species